rnacentral:rRNA from 1 species
UACAGAGGGUGCAAGCGUUGUUCGGAAUUAUUGGGCGUAAAGCGCGUGUAGGCGGCUUUGCAAGUCGGGUGUGAAAGCCCUCGGCUCAACCGAGGAAGUGCGCCCGAAACUGCAGAGCUUGAGUACCGGAGAGGAUGGCGGAAUUCCUGGUGUAGCGGUGGAAUGCGCAGAUAUCAGGAAGAACACCCGUGGCGAAGGCGGCUCUCUGGGACGGUACUGACGCUGAGACGCGAAAGCGUGGGGAGCGAACAGG